UACGGAGGGUGCAAGCGUUAUCCGGAUUUACUGGGUUUAAAGGGUGCGUAGGUGGGUCUGUAAGUCAGUGGUGAAAUCUCCGAGCUUAACUCGGAAACUGCCAUUGAUACUAUAGAUCUUGAAUUAUCUGGAGGUAAGCGGAAUAUGUCAUGUAGCGGUGAAAUGCUUAGAUAUGACAUAGAACACCAAUUGCGAAGGCAGCU
rnacentral:rRNA from 1 species